rnacentral:rRNA from 1 species
GUUCUCUAGAAUUUCAUUCCAAGUUAAGUCUGGUCUUCUUUGCGUAAUUUAUAUAGCAGGGUCUACAAGAAUUGGAUGCAGAUCCACUAUCCCACCCUCCCCUCUGUAUUUACUGCAAUGCAUAUUUACCUGGAGGUAGCAUCUCAGCGGUAUGUCAAGUGCCAAGUCAGUUUUCACUAAAUACAAAUUUUAAUAUAUACUGGUUGUAUAUUUAUGGAUUAUAGUUGAAAUUCUCAAAUGAAUAAAUAUUUUUGUAGUCCUAUAUACAGCUACCUAAAACAGAAGUUGGCACAUCUUCAUUAGAAGGUAUGCUCACUAGCUUGAUUUCUCCUAGAGAUGUAGAAUGUUUAUUCCCGCAAUGUUAUUUUGCAAUUUCCUUUUUUGAUGUAGCUGCUUAUCUAUCAAGUUUAUUUAGCAGAGUGUCUAUGAAAGUGUGCAGUUCAAAUAAUCGGGUUAUGUUAUACUAAGUAUCCUAUAAAUGAUCUGAAUGAACACAAGCGAUGGCGUCCGUCGGCCACGGUGCCCAAGGCGUAGACUGGACCCUUCUAAGGAGGCAUGUGGGGAUGCAUGCAAGACAUGCCCUCAUUCUAUGAAACAAAGUCAAAAGCAAAUGGGAGUAUGAGAGAUGGUGUAUGGACCAAGUGAUGGAGCAUCUCACGGACGGCGGCCCUCACUUCAAGCUCGAUGAGCUUAACUUAAACAUGCUCUUGCACUGGCAUGGUCGUGAUAGGUUUGUCAUCUGGGCGAUUGCCCGUGUUCGAAAGAUGCAUUAGGAGGGGAGUGACGAAGCCGGAGGGGCCGAGGUGCCCUCAUCAUCAUGGGUGCUUGACGGUGCAUCAUAGACCAGGCGGAGGAUCUCCUGGUGGAGCUUGGCAGAACCGAGGCACUUGGAGGAGAAGACGCCAUGGAGCCCUCGCCCGCUGCUGGUAGGCUUUGGCGAGGACGAGCGCCGGGAAAGGUCCCAGAUGUUGCGCCAAGGCCUUCCGCGCCCGCACCCGAGGUAGGUGCUUCACUAACAAGCUGCUACAAGUGUACAAGGCCUUCCACGUUGAAGCUGAGAAGGCAAGAAGAUUUCGUUAUUAAUAGGGACAAAUAGGUGGCUAGCGUAUCCUUUUUGGUUGGCUGAAGCGUUGGAGUGCUAAAGUUCCAGAUAAAAAUCCAUCUUUGGCGCAUUUGUUUUCAGAUUAUUGCUGUUGGAGAUGAGCUAUACAGAGAGAGACACACACACUUAUCUGUACAAAAUCCAUCUUUGGCGCACUUGGGGAAACUUUGUCCAAGGGCAAUUCAUAGAUUGGAAUUUAGAUUUGGGGCAAUUUUGUUUGCCUUGCUUUGUACGGAUGUUGCUAUGCUUUGUGUAUUGUUGUCAUUAUUGUACAGAGAGAAGAUACAGUGAGAC